rnacentral:rRNA from 1 species
ACGGGUGCGUAACGCGUGGGAAUCUGCCUUGGGGUUCGGAAUAACUCCCCGAAAGGGGUGCUAAUACCGGAUGAUGUCGAAAGACCAAAGAUUUAUCGCCCUGAGAUGAGCCCGCGUAGGAUUAGCUAGUUGGUGUGGUAAAGGCGCACCAAGGCGACGAUCCUUAGCUGGUCUGAGAGGAUGAUCAGCCACACUGGGACUGAGACACGGUCCAGACUCCUACGGGAGGCAGCAGUGGGGAAUAUUGGACAAUGGGCGAAAGCCUGAUCCAGCAAUGCCGCGUGAGUGAUGAAGGCCUUAGGGUUGUAAAGCUCUUUUACCCGGGAAGAUAAUGACUGUACCGGGAGAAUAAGCCCCGGCUAACUCCGUGCCAGCAGCCGCGGUGAUACGGAGGGGGCUAGCGUUGUUCGGAAUUACUGGGCGUAAAGCGCACGUAGGCGGCUUUGUAAGUCAGAGGUGAAAGCCUGGAGCUCAACUCCAGAACUGCCUUUGAGACUGCAUCGCUUGAAUCCAGGAGAGGUGAGUGGAAUUCCGAGUGUAGAGGUGAAAUUCGUAGA